rnacentral:tRNA from 2 species
GGGGGCAUACCUCAGUAGCAGAGUGUUUGACUGCAGAUCAACAGGUCCCUGGUUCAAAUCCAGGUGCCUCCU